rnacentral:rRNA from 1 species
GCGAGCGUUAAUCGGAAUUACUGGGCGUAAAGCGUGCGCAGGCGGUUUUUUAAGCCAGAUGUGAAAUCCCCGGGCUCAACCUGGGAACUGCAUUUGGAACUGGAAGACUAGAGUGUAGCAGAGGGGGGUAGAAUUCCACGUGUAGCAGUGAAAUGCGUAGAUAUGUGGAGGAAUACCAAUGACGAAGGCAGCCCCCUGGGUUAACACUGACGCUCAUGCACGAAAGCGUGGGGAGCAAACAGGAUUAGAUACCCUGGUAGUCCACGCCCUAAACGAUGUCAACUAGGUGUUGGGGGAGGAGACUUCCUUAGUACCGUAGCUAACGCGUGAAGUUGACCGCCUGGGGAGUACGGUCGCAAGAUUAAAACUCAAAGGAAUUGACGGGGACCCGCACAAGCGGUGGAUUAUGUGGAUUAAUUCGAUGCAACGCGGAAAACCUUUACCCACCUUGAACAUUUAGGAAAUCCUCUAGGAAUAGAGGAGGGCUGGAAAGAGACUUGUAACCACCAGUUGUGGCCAUGCCUUUGUUCCAGUUCCGUUUCUGGAAAAUUUUGGGUUAAUUCCCCCAAGGGGGCCAACCUUGUUCAUUAGUGCCUUCAUUUAGUUGGGCACUUUAAUGAGACUGCCGGUGACUAAACCGGAGGAAGGUGGGGAUGACGUCAAGUCCUCAUGGCCCUUAUAGGUGGGGCUACACACGUCAUACAAUGGUUGGUACAGAGGGUUGCCAACCCGCGAGGGGGAGCUAAUCUAUGAAAACCGAUCGUAGUCCGGAUUGCAGUCUGCAACUCGACUGCGUGAAGUCGGAAUCGCUAGUAAUCGUGGAUCAGCAUGUCACGGUGAAUACGUUC